rnacentral:rRNA from 1 species
GACGAACCGAGCGAACGUUGUUCGGAAUCACUGGGCUUAAAGGGCGCGUAGGCGGGCUGUCAAGUCUGGGGUGAAAUCCCGCGGCUCAACCGUGGAACUGCCUCAGAUACUGACGGCCUCGAGGGGGGUAGGGGCGAGCGGAACGGAUGGUGGAGCGGUGAAAUGCGUUGAUAUCAUCCGGAACUCCGGUGGCGAAGGCGGCUCGCUGGACCUUUUCUGACGCUGAGGCGCGAAAGCCAGGGGAGCAAACGGG